GCUCCUGUGGCGGAACAGGAAUACGCGCAGCGCUUAGGACGCUGUCCUGUAAGGGUUGCAGGUUCGAGUCCUGCCAGGAGCACCA
rnacentral:tRNA from 5 species